rnacentral:rRNA from 1 species
CACGUAGGGGGCGAGCGUUGUCCGGAUUUAUUGGGCGUAAAGAGCUCGUAGGUGGCUCGGUAAGUCGGGUGUGAAAUUUCGAGGCUCAACCUCGAGACGCCACCUGAUACUGCUGUGGCUAGAGUCCGGUAGGGGAGCGUGGAAUUCCUGGUGUAGCGGUGAAAUGCGCAGAUAUCAGGAGGAACACCAGCGGCGCAGGCGGCGCUCUGGGCCGGUACUGACACUGAGGAGCGAAAGCGUGGGGAUCAAACAGGAUUAGAAACCCCAGUAGUCC